UACGUAGGGUGCGAGCGUUAAUCGGAAUUAUUGGGCGUAAAGAGCGUGUAGGCGGCCAGGUAGGUCUGGUGUGAAAACUCGAGGCUUAACCUCGAGAUGUCAUCGGAAACCAUCUGGCUAGAGUCCGGAAGAGGAGAGUGGAAUUCCUGGUGUAGCGGUGAAAUGCGCAGAUAUCAGGAGGAACACCGAUGGCGAAGGCAGGUCUCUGGGCCACUACUGACGCUGAGGCGCGAAAGCUAGGGGAGCAAACGGG
rnacentral:rRNA from 1 species